UGGCGGGGGAAGAGUGGAGAAAGAGCUGUCUGAGAGCUGAUAAUAGAAUUGCUGGGUUGAGGCAUUUUCUAUUGUUUUGUUUUUCUUUUGCAUUUUAGGAUACAAGAGAAUGGGGACUGAAGUGUUACUUGGAAUGGAUUCUUUUAGCUCAGAAAGAAAUUCAGAGUCACUUUGACUUAAUAUUUUUCUUGUUAGUAACUGGAAAUCUCUACUCAUCUUGGGGCCCCUGGACAAGGAAAAUUUGCCUAUUGUGUGUUCAAAGGCACCUAUCCCAGAGAACACCACCAGUUUGCUAAGUCACAAACACUUUUCAGGUCACUGGAACAUAAUAUUAAGAUACUGGACAGGACUUCAGCAGAGCACAUCUGAACCACAUAUGACUUCCUUCAGAAGAGAGUUGUUCUCACCUAAACAGCACUUGGAAGAAAGCAGAGCCUGAGAUGGGGAUUCUCAGUUGGGGGUGCCCUCAGAGAAGAAUGAAAGAGCAGGGGAAGGAGCUAAACAAGGGGCCCUCAGAGAAGAAUGAAGGAGCAGGGGAAGGAGCUAAACAAGGGUGUGGUCUCAGCUGGAGACCAGUCUCAGCCUGUUCCCAAGGGAGCUCUGAAGCAUGAAUUGUACCCCAGAGUUGUCCCACCCUGAGGCAAAGGAGUUGACUUCUGUAAUUCUGUGCCAGUCACUGGUCAGGUUUGUGGAUGUUACGGUGACUUGUAACCCAGGGCGGGGAGGUGGCUCCUGUUCCCUAGGCUGAGGCCAGGGCUGGGGAACAGCAGCUAUGAGCUGUAAAGGAAUCUGAGCAGGGUACCAACAGUGUCCACUACUGAAGGAAAUACCAAAGUUCAGGCUGUCUUCAUCCACGUUAAUAGCUGACGUCAAUAUACACGUUUAAAAGCAAUGUGAAUUAAGAUUUCUUGGGUGAUUCUUUAACAUGACCAAUCCCCAGCUUGUUGUGAAAGAGGGGCUCCUUAACUGGCUUAUCUCAAUUUCCUGUGAGUAAAUAUAAGCUCCUCAGAUAUUUGCCAUCCAUUAGAUUCUGAUAUUUUAAUUAUUUUAAUCAAUAACUAAACUAUUUGGCUCUGGUGAGCUUUGCCAUGUUGAACUGUGUAUGUUUCUGAGCUAGUGCUUUUGUGUGCCUGGGUCUCAACUCAACUGAGAGCCAAACCCAAAAAAAGAUGUUAGUUUGCCAAAUUCGAAUAGAACCAAAUCCAUAUUCUUUCAACUGGAAUGUGAAUCAAAAGCCUAAAACAGAAGCAAAUGUAUACACUUUCUGAAACUACUGAAACAAAGAAAAGCCUGAAUGUCAAAAUACUCUCAAAACUGAAAGUGAUGUUUUUGGUGCAAUUUCAUUUGGUUUGAGUCACUUGUGGACAUUUGUCCCUGAUCAGCAGCUGAAUCAGUUCUGUCACCAUGUUCUCAUCUCAGUUCUAUUCAUUCUGCAUUCACUCAAAAAUCUCAUCAUUUACCUUUUCAACGUGCCCCUUAAAGGUGAAGGAGGGAGAGUGGGGAGGGGCUAGUUUUAGAAUUGGUAGAACAUAUAGGGAGGAAAAGACUUGAUGAGAAGAAAUUACUCUUGUUUAGCUGGAAACUUGCCUGGUUGCUUUUCCUGCAUAUUAAAGAACAAAAUUAACUCCUCGGCUUAUGACUCCCUUUCCUGCCUCUCUUAUCAUCAUCCUUUGUUCCUGUAAGAAAAUCA
rnacentral:lncRNA from 1 species